AAAAGCCUCAGUUAUUGUAAAUAUUGGUGUGCACACCGCCAGCUCUAUUGAGCUAGGCAUUUCUAUUGGGUUAACCAGACCUGCUGGCCUUCGAGAAGGUAGCAGGGAAAAACAGGUUAACCAGACCUGCUGGCCUCUGAGAAGGUAGCAGGGAACCUGCUGGCCUCCGGGAAGGUAGCAGG